rnacentral:rRNA from 1 species
UGGGGAAUCUUGGACAAUGGGGGCAACCCUGAUCCAGCCAUGCCGCGUGAGUGAUGAAGGCCUUAGGGUCGUAAAGCUCUUUCGCCUGUGAAGAUAAUGACGGUAGCAGGUAAAGAAACCCCGGCUAACUCCGUGCCAGCAGCCGCGGUAAUACGGAGGGGGUUAGCGUUGUUCGGAAUUACUGGGCGUAAAGCGCACGUAGGCGGACCAGAAAGUUGGGGGUGAAAUCCCGGGGGCUCAACCCCGGAACUGCCUCCAAAACUAUUGGUCUAGAGUUCGAGAGAGGUGAGUGGAAUUCCAAGUGUAGAGGUGAAAUUCGUAGAUAUUUGGAGGAACACCAGUGGCGAAGGCGGCUCACUGGCUCGAUACUGACGCUGAGGUGCGAAAGUGUGGGGAGCAAACAGGAUUAGAUACCCUGGUAGUCCACGCCGUAAAACGAUGAGCACUCGGUGCCGCGGGUAUCGACCCCUGCGGUGCCUGAGCUAACGCAUUAAGUGCUCCG